AGAAAGCUAAACCCCGCAAGGAAGAAGAAGGGAAGGAGAGGGAGAAGAGCGCGCCGGCGUCGCGCCUCACCGCCGUAGAGCCCAUCACACGCAUCGCCGCCGUCAUGUCACCGUCAAUCUGAACCGUGCGAGGGAGAGAGCUGCCGCUGCGGGAAACGCGAUGGUGGAGAGGACGCCACCAGAUCUGUGGCGCCUGUUCCCUGUCGAGCUCUCCGUCGAAGACGCCACCGCCGUCACUGUCGAACCCUAGCCGUCACAGUCGCCAUCGACGCUGUGGCAGAGAAAGAGGAAGGAUGCGCGAACAGAAGAGGGAGAAGGAAGCUGCGAAGCCGUCACCGUUUCUGCUCGGGGUUGUCGCUGCUGCUGAAGAAGACGCGUCCGAGAGAGAGAGAACCGGGGGAGUGACGCGCGAAGGAUGUUCUGACGGAGAAGGAGGAGAACGAGGUUGUCUCAUCGCCAAUGAUUAGAAGUUGCUACUGUUGAUGGGAUGAACAGAACGUGAAGAGGGAGGAGAAACUCGUAGAGGAGAGGGAGGUUUUGCCGCCGCACCGCUGGUCGCCGGGGAACACCGCCAUUGACGCCGGAGAAUGCCACUAUUGGAGCCACUGUCCGUGCUCGGCCCCUGUUUCCGUUGCUGUUUAUGCUGGUUCAGCCAUUGCCGCCACAACCCGUCUCAAAUUUCUUCUAAUUUCGACACUCAGAGGGUGCUGCUACUCUAAAUGAUUGGAAGAUGGUCAUUGCUGUUUGAAAAGAGCAAUGCAUCACAAUUGCCUUGUUUGCUUUGAGGUAUAAACUAUAAAGACUAUUCUUCUAUUAUGGUAAAAUCUUUUGGGAAGAACCACAUGAUUUCAUUUUCUUUGGUUUAUGAAUUGGUUUUGCUUAUUAUGAAUUUUAUUGAUUGUUGAUUGUUACUAUGAUGAUGUUGGCUUGUUCUGCCAUUAGUUACUUUGUUGAUUGAAUUUUUUUCUUUAAUGAGAUUUUGUUCUGAGCAAUGUUAGGAGAAAAUAGUUCUGCUUUGUCAUCAGUUCCUUCUCUGUCAUCUGCUGCUGUUCCGUGCUCUCCUCUCCGCUUGCGUCCACUACGUCGUCCCCCACCUCGUCCGCUGAGGUUCGGUUACGCAUGUAAAGUGGCUGGGAAUUCUAAGUUGAUUCUCUCAAUGGCCUGAAUGACUCAAGUAAAAUUGCUGCAUUUGAUUUUGAUGACCUGAAUGACUCAAGUAAAAAUCUUAGAAUUCUGGAGAAGAUUGCCCAAAUAUUCAAAGAGGAUUUGAAGUUUGGUGGAGAAGAGCUUUCUGGAAGCGGAAUGGAGAGUAAGAAUAGACAAGACAAUUACGAAUUACAGCUACAAUAGUUGAUAAUCCUUGAAGAUAGACAGUCCCAGCAUGGUGGAAUUGACAGCAUUUUACUGGUUACAUGGAAGAAAUAAGAGUUUAUGUGCUAUCAAUUUAAUUUAGUGGAUAAGAUUUCAUGUUUAACUGGCUACCGCAAGGUGGGGCUGGUGGUUUAAGUUUUUUGCUGUGUGAGAGACUAUACUAAGCAAAGCAACUGCUGAUGUUGACAAAGGGGUCCAUGAUGAGACUGGUUUCUUUUAGGUGGUUCUGUUUUUUGAAAAUAUGGGCUUGGAUAAAGAAACUAUUGGGAGAAUUAUUUUUCGCUGCCAGCAUUGAUAAAACUCUUUAGAGGAAGAUUGAAUUCCUUUCUAGGGUUGGCGUUUUUUAAGCUUAUUUUCCUGGGAUAAUUAGAAAAUAUCCGGAAUUACUUGUAACCAACA